UCGAGCGGUAAGGCCCUUUCGGGGGUACACGAGCGGCGAACGGGUGAGUAACACGUGAGCAAUCUGCCCUUGACUUUGGAAUAACCAUUGGAAACGAUGGCUAAUGCCGAAUAUGACCCCCUUUCGCAUGUUGGGGGGUGGAAAGCUCCGGCGGUCAAGGAUGAGCUCGCGGCCUAUCAGCUUGUUGGUGAGGUAAUGGCUCACCAAGGCAUUGACGGGUAGCCGGCCUGAGAGGGUGACCGGCCACACUGGGACUGAGACACGGCCCAGACUCCUACGGGAGGCAGCAGUGGGGAAUAUUGGACAAUGGGCGAAAGCCUGAUCCAGCAACGCCGCGUGAGGGAUGACGGCCUUCGGGUUGUAAACCUCUUUCAGCAGGGACGAAGCGAGAGUGACGGUACCUGCAGAAGAAGGACCGGCCAACUAC
rnacentral:rRNA from 1 species